rnacentral:rRNA from 1 species
GACAGAGGGUGCAAACGUUGUUCGGAAUUACUGGCGUAAAGCGAGUGUAGGCGGUCUGAUAAGUCGGGUGUGAAAGCCCUGGGCUCAACCCAGGAAGUGCACUCGAAACUGCCAGGCUAGAGUAUCGGAGAGGUUGGUGGAAUUCUCGGUGUAGAGGUGAAAUUCGUAGAUAUCGAGAGGAACACCGGUGGCGAAGGCGGCCAACUGGACGAUUACUGACGCUGAGACUCGAAAGACGUGGGGAGCAAACAGG